UGAAAAAUUCGUCAUCUGCUGUGGGCGUAAGGCUUUUCUUUAGCUCUCUGUUACCUAUAUAAAGUUUUGAAUCUGAUUUUUGUGGAUUACUGCACACACUGACUGCCAGUCACCUGUUGAACCAACUGCUACUAGGAAACAUUUGUCUCCUGAACUAAAUAUACAACAGUUAUUUUCUCUCAUCUCUGCAAUCUUCCCAGCUCCAAUUAAAAAACAUGGGAAACGAGACUUCACGCUCAAAUACCCACGUGGCCAACGCAACCGGGAAGCAUCUUCGUAUUUUCUAUGGAGUGGAUACAAUGAGGCUGGAAGAAAUGGUGAUAAAUGUGGGAGCAGGGAUAGAAGGUACAGCAUCAAAAACUGAACAAUCAGUAUCAGGGAAGAUUUCCACCGAUGUGAAGAUGGUUUUUAAACCAGACUCCCGGGUCCGUUACCUUCACCUGCCGCAGAACGAGACAUGUAACUUUACCGGUGAAGGCACCAUCUAUGCCACUGUCCUUUUGGAAGAUGAAAAGGACGACAAAAUCUGCAGUGGUGUCAUCUGCCAAAAUUUCCAUAUCC